rnacentral:rRNA from 1 species
GAUAAACGCUGGCGGCGCACAUAAGACAUGCAAGUUGAACGGACUUAAUCGAAAUAUUUAUAUUUUGAAGCGGUUAGUGGCGGACUGGUGAGUAGCGCGUAAGGAACCUGCCUAUUAGAGGGGAAUAACAGUGAGAAAUCAUUGCUAAUACCGCAUAUGCCAUAGAUAUCACAUGAUAACAGUGGGAAAGGAGCAAUCCGCUAAUAGAUGGCCUUGCGUCUGAUUAGAUAGUUGGUGGGGUAACGGCCUACCAAGUCGACGAUCAGUAGCCGGACUGAGAGGUUGAACGGCAACAUUGGGACUGAGAUACGGCCCAGACUCCUACGGGAGGCAGCAGUCGGGAAUAUUGCGCAAUGGAGGAAACUCUGACGCAGUGACGCCGCGUAUAGGAAGAAGGUUUUCGGAUUGUAAACUAUUGUCGUUAGGGAAGAGAAAGGACAGUACCUAAGGAGGAAGCUCCGGCUAACUACGUG